rnacentral:sRNA from 1 species
CAGAAACAAGAAGAAGAACAAGAACCAUCACU